UACGUAGGGGGCGAGCGUUGUCCGGAGUUACUGGGCGUAAAGGGCAUGCAGGCGGUCGGACGCGUUUCGGGUGACAGCGGGUGGCUUAACUACCCGAGUGGUCGAAAGACGGUUUGACUUGAGGACGCGAGAGGGACACGGAAUUCCGGGUGGAGUGGUGAAAUGCGUAGAGAUCCGGAGGAACACCGAAGGCGAAGGCAGCCCCCUGGGCUAACACUGACGCUCAUGCACGAAAGCGUGGGGAGCAAACAGG
rnacentral:rRNA from 1 species